rnacentral:misc_RNA from 1 species
GGUGGUGCCAUUUCAUAUUAAUGAGAAGAAAAUUUUAUCAUAUUUUUUAAUUGUUUGCAAUUAAUCUUCAAUUCCUAGGAUUUUAAUUCUGUAAUAAACAAAGGAUAUUCUCUAAAUCCGUAGGAUUAAAAUUUAAAAAUCCAGGUAUGAAAGAUCAGGAUAGCUUCUUUGGCAGAGACUGGAAGUAAAUGAAAUGCGGAAACAUUUAGGAGAACAUGUUUUGGGUUCGAGUCCUCUGGGUGAUUCUAGAAAGCAAAAGGGUGUGCCUAACUUUUUCUCACAGGGAGAAUCAAAUGCCGCAAAUACAACACAUGGAAGAGAACUACAUGUUUUUAGUCACAUGCAGGCUUAGAUGGGAAGAGAUUCUCCUAUGAAGGGAAAUUUUGAUGCAUUUUCUAAAGUUCUUCACAAAAAUGAUGAAAUGAAAUUUUAAUUGCAAAAUAUUGAAGCAUUCUUUGAGUAAUACUUAGGAUGUGCCAUGAUACAUGAUGGCAAUUUAAUGACACUGGUCAUGAAUGCUGGUCUUCUGACACAUAUGUUUCAAUGUUAUUUGAGUUAAAACAGGUUAGUCAUCACCCAACUCUC